rnacentral:rRNA from 1 species
GACGAACGCUGGCGGCGUGCUUAACACAUGCAAGUCGAACGAAGAGCGAUGGAAGCUUGCUUCUAUCAAUCUUAGUGGCGAACGGGUGAGUAACGCGUAAUCAACCUGCCCUUCAGAGGGGGACAACAGUUGGAAACGACUGCUAAUACUGCAUACGCUCACACCUCGGCAUCGAGGAUAGAUGAAAGGUAGUCUCUAUAUGUAAGCUAUUACUCACGUUGGGGUUUGCGUAUGAUUAGCUAGCUGGAGGGGUAACGGUGCACCAAAGCGAGGAUCAUUAGCCGGACUGAGAGGAAGAGCGGCCACAAUGGGACUGAGACACGGCCCAGACUCCUACGGGAAGCAGCAGUAGGGGAUCUGCCGAAAUGGACGAAAGUCUGACGGAGCAACGGCGCGGGAGUGAUGACGGCGUUCGGGUUGUAAAGCUCUGUUAAUCGGGACGAAAGGCCUUUUUGAGAAAAGUGAGAAGGAUUGACGGUACCGGAAGAGAAAGCAACGGCUAACUACGUG